UUUACUGGGAACAGCCUAUAUUCUGCGACGAUAUCUAUAACAAUUGACAAUAAAAUUCUGGCAUCCCAGGUCCUUGGGAAGGACUCGAUGUCUGGAUAAAACAAACCAGUCAAUAACACCUGUCUGACUGUGUAAACAAGAAAUAAUAAUAAUAAUAAAUACAUAAUAAUAAAAUUUUAAUAACUGAAGGGUUUGUCUAAUUAGAUUGGGCUCAGUCCUGAUACCUACCAAAACCCUACUCCAGAUUAACAUUCACUCACUCACUUAGAGCACCUUAGAGGCACAAAUCUCAAAAUGAAAGGGAGCUUUUCUGUUUCACUGGCCUCCAAUGGCUAUUGAGGUAGGCAGCCUCGGAACGUUGGGCCUUGGGAGUUCCUCGGCAGUUGUCCAACUGCUGUCCUGGGUCUUUGCCUUGUCUGCUGUCUCAGGUACAAAGUCUUCAAUGUGACCCUCCAUUCCAUUGCUGGCCAGUUAACUGCCAGGCUCCCUGAAGAUCUCUUUGCUAAGUCAGUGUUUGCUCAGCUGCUAGGCUACCUCAGUGCAGGGGCAAAGGCAAGGUGAGGUGCUCAGAUCGGUGGACUCCUUAACUGAGGGAAAUUGAGAGCGAAGCUGGAGAGGGGAGGAGUUACUACCAAAAACUUGUCUUAAGGAAAGGCUUGUUCUGGAGGCUACGUCCUGCGCACACACAAAAACCCAUAUGUGAACAGACAGAUGACCACUAGAAGAACCUCAGUUACAGAGAAAAGGCAAGGAAAGAACCAGGAAGGCUGUAAGUCCUUUGGUUGAUGACGAGAAACUGAGGGGAAAUCGAAAGCAAGACUGGAGAGGGAAGGAGCUACUGCCAAAAAUCUGUCUGAAGGAAAGGCUUGGAAUGUUCCGGAAGCUGGGUCCCAUGCAUGCACAGAAGCCAUGUGUGUACAACGGAGACCAUGAAGAUCAACUCCUCUUCCUGGAUGACAAACCUCCACAUACAUCACUGGUGCCCCAGUACUUCCAACAGCCACUGCCCAUGAGAGUUCUAAGGGCUGGGGGUUAUUACUAUCUGCAGCAGAAAUGGCAGUAGGACAUCUGGCAGAAUUGGGGAAAGGGAAGAACAGAACCUCCUGAGCUACCAUCGCUUUUGAGGGGAGCAGAGCUACAGUGUUAGAUGUCAAUGUAAAUUUGUCUAAUACAACUGAGAACACUUGACAUUCCAAAGCAGAAAAAUUAAAGAAGAGGCCAAGGUCAUCUGCCUAUAAAGCUGGUUACAUUAAUGUGAACCACUAAGACUGCUAUGAUUGAAAAAUGUUAUACAAAUAUUGAGGCUUUUCUCAUGAGCAGCAGAAACUGGGCUAAGGGAGCCCAGCCUGGUUUCGCUGCUCAUGUGCUGCAAUGGGAGCUGGGCAGCUCCAGAGUGCACGCUCCACUACCCCUGUUUUUUUGGUCAUGUGUUGCCAUGGUGCGGCACUGUGGCGACGCACGAGUAGACCCCCAACAAAGAGGCCACAACAAGCCUCCCGGCAUCGGAGGGGCGGCUCCCCAGAAUGCCCCAUGCACUUGUGUGUGCAUUCUGGGACUUCAGGGGGCCGGGAUGGUCCCGUUCCCUGCCGCCCUAACUGGCUCCAUGAUGGAGCUGUAAUUGUGUGGGUGGCCAAUCCAGCCACCAAGGGCAAGCUUCCUGCUUGUGUGCAAGGAGAGCGGCCCACUCUCCCUGCAAAACCCCAUAUUUAUUUAUUUAUUGUUGCAUUUAUAUACCGCCUUUCGUUAAAAGACAACCCCAAGGCGGUUUACAAAAGUUAAAACAUACAAUAAAAAGACAAUAAAAAUAUUAAGCUAAAAAUAUAAAAACAAACCAAAUUUAAAAUCUAUAAAAUACAAGCAUAAAAAAAAUACAACAGGUAAAAACACACAGAAGCAGCAGUAAAAACGAUUAUGUAAAAGCCUGGAUUAAAAGCCAAGUUUUAACAAGCUUUCUAAAAGCCGUGAUGGAGUCCGAGGAGCGAAUGGUCACUGGGAGAGCAUUCCAAAGUCUGGUGGCAGCAACAGAGAAGGCCCUGUCCUGAGUGCACAACAGCCGGGCCUCCCUCAUUGUUGGCACCCGGAGCAGGGCCCCCUCAGAUGUCCUCGUCAAGCAGGCAGCAACCCUUGGGAGCAGGUGGUCCCUCAAAUACCCCGGGCCCAAACUGUUAAGGAAUUUAAAGGUCAA